rnacentral:tRNA from 1 species
CAAAUUAUUCUUAAAGUUAAGAUUUUCAUUUACAUUGAAAUAGUUGUUGUGCAAUUCAAUAUAAUUUGA